GAGGGGGGGGGGGAGAGAGAGAGAGAGAGAGAGAGAGAGAGAGAGAGAAGAUUGAUUGCAUCUUGGCCCUGCCGUUAAAUGAGCCAUUAUCAGGAGAAGCUGCAAUAAUGCAUACAGUCACUUGAAAAGAAAAGCUGCUUUCCUUGGCGAAUACACCUAUUAUUUCAGCGGCACUCCAAGAGUGUUUCAAUAGUGUCCAGUUCAUGCAAUGGAUCAGAUUUUAAGUCUCCGCCUUCACAAUUUCAUAGGAACGUUAUGCAAGUUGCAACAACUCUUUACAACUAUUACAUCGUUACUGUGUUACACCAGCAUGUCUGGAGGAAACAAUCUUAACCACAGCUAUUCUUGUAUGGUGACAAGGCUAAGGUGUGAAGGAAUCUGACUGCGCCUGUCUCUCAGAUGCC